rnacentral:misc_RNA from 1 species
GAUGAAGAACGCAGCGAAAUGCGAUAAAUAAUGUGAAUUGCAGAAUUCAGUGAAUCAUCGAGUCUUUGAACGCACAUUGCGCCCCCUGUUAUUCCGGGGGGCAUGCCUGUCCGAGCGUCAUUGCUGCCCUCAAGCACGGCUUGUGUGUUGGGCCCCCGUCCCCCCCUCCCGGGGGACGGGCCCGAAAGGCAGCGGCGGCACCGCGUCCGGUCCUCGAGCGUAUGGGGCUUUGUCACCCGCUCUGUAGGCCCGGCCGGCGCCUGCCGACCACCAUCAAUCUUUUUUCAGGUUGACCUCGGAUCAGGUAGGGAUACCCGCUGAACUUAAGCAUAUCAAUAAGCGGAGGA